CAUCGACGUCGCCAAUGCUAGGGUUUUCCGUUGAAGAAUGGAACUGUGGGUCGGACCCUUCAGAAUCUAGAACGUUCUGGAAGCGAGAAGAAGAAUUAGACACGGCUGCGGGGGGAGAAGANNNNNNNNUGGAGAGGAAUCACAGAGAUUUGUCCCAUCUGAACCUGCAAGUGCCUUGCUAAAGUGCCCUUCAUUUUACUGCUCUCUCUCCUCUUCCUAUUGCUUCCCUUUAGGGUUUUCCUCUUCAUCAAUCACCACCACCACCACCACCACCACCAC
rnacentral:misc_RNA from 1 species